GUUUGAUCAUGGCUCAGAUUGAACGCUGGCGGCAGGCUUAACACAUGCAAGUCGAGCGGGGGAAGGUAGCUUGCUACUGGACCUAGCGGCGGACGGGUGAGUAAUGCUUAGGAAUCUGCCUAUUAGUGGGGGACAACAUCUCGAAAGGGAUGCUAAUACCGCAUACGUCCUACGGGAGAAAGCAGGGGAUCUUCGGACCUUGCGCUAAUAGAUGAGCCUAAGUCGGAUUAGCUAGUUGGUGGGGUAAAGGCCUACCAAGGCGACGAUCUGUAGCGGGUCUGAGAGGAUGAUCCGCCACACUGGGACUGAGACACGGCCCAGACUCCUACGGGAGGCAGCAGUGGGGAAUAUUGGACAAUGGGGGGAACCCUGAUCCAGCCAUGCCGCGUGUGUGAAGAAGGCCUUAUGGUUGUAAAGCACUUUAAGCGAGGAGG
rnacentral:rRNA from 1 species